AUAAAUAAAUAUUUCCGAGCUGUUAUCGCUAAGGACCUUUGUCUAGGGGAAGCAGCCUAUGGGUAUGAAGAGAAAUCUUUAUGCCUCCCGUAAAUUGGAAAGGAACUGUUACUAAAAUCUA
rnacentral:ncRNA from 1 species